GCAAUCAUACCGGCACUAAUGCAUCGGAUCCCAUCAGAACUCCGAAGUUAAGCGUGCUUGGGCGAGAGCAGUACUGGGAUGGGUGACCCCCUGGGAAGUCCUCGUGUUGCACCU
rnacentral:rRNA from 1 species